UACCAAACUUCCCCUUAAUACGUCUCUCCGAACACACACAGCUAGAGUUCAUGUAAAUUGGGGGAUGAUGAAAAGAGAAUCUCAAUGUGUAUCUUUACUUUGUAGCAAGAUGACAUGUCGAUGUUCUACCAAUAUUACACCUUGUUGUCAGGGAUGGCAACGGAGCAAAUCAAGGUUGGGGUAGCCAUUCAUGUUUCCUGUCCCAUCGGGUAUUUUUGUUUCCUUGGCCCACUUUCAUAUACGGUGAAGGCAAGGUGAAGUGAGAUGGAAUGGAACAAUUGCGGUGCAAGGCAAGUUCCUUUCAUCGUUUAUUAUUUUAUUUAUUAUUUAUUUUUAUUUUUCAAUGUCUUUAAUUGGUGGAAAUCGCGACUUUUUUUUUUUUUUUUUUUUUUUUUUUUUUUGUGUAGAACGAUAUAUGCUUUGUUUAAAAGGGAUGAUGAUUCUUUGAUUUUUGUAUGAUAAGAAACUCAUAUUUUAAAAUGGUCUUUAAACAAGGUAGAACUUGAGGAUAUCGGAUUUAACGAAUUUUUUUAUCACUCGUAUCUCAGAGUUAGUUAUAAAUAAAUCAAUCAUGCUACUUGUACAAUGAAUUUGAUAACAAAUUUGACAAUGUGUGAGUUGGCAAUCAUCAUGUCUACUAAUUUGAAAAACAGUUUUUGAAUUCAAUGGUCAAGAUCUUUACACUUUACACAUUGUCAAACUCAUUGUGUAAAUUCAUUGUACAGCUAGAUUAAUUCAUAAACAAAUCAAUCAUGCUACUUGUACAAUGAAUUUGUUAACAAAUUUGACAAUGUGUGAGUUGGCAAUAUACCCCUCUCUUUCCUUUUCGAGUCCCACGUUGCUCCACGGGAUGACAACGCUUGAAUCCCCCCAUCACAAGCCUCUUAUUUUUUUUAAUUGUAUCAUGAAGAUGAAACUGCUCCCCGUUGUUAACAUAUCAAAUAAUUAUGAUUCAAACAUUUUUAUUUAUAUUGAAAACUCGAGCAUAUCAAUUGGUUACUCGUUAUUUGGUAUGUUAGUUAAGGUAAAACGAUAAUAUUAAACGCGAUAAAGUUACUUUGUUAGAAGGAUUUGAUAGGAAGUUCGGUAUUAUUGUAUGUGACUGUAGGUGAUUGGAUAAAAAGUUGACUUUAUUUUAAACUGUCCAAUGAUAGAAUGUCACGUUAUAUUUUCUCAAACUUUAUGUCAACAUUAAUGUUCAUGUAGCAUGAUUGUAUUGAACGAUAUUGAAAGAAUUAUAAUUUUAUUCAUGGUAUUUGAUGUUUGUUCAGGCUCAAAGACAAGGAAAAAUAGACUGACUUGACAACAAAUGAUUGGAAGUUUGUUGUUUUUAGUUUUCAAAUAGUCCAAUCAUGUGUUGAUACGUAUGCACCCUAUUCAUCGGAGGUUCAAAGAUGCUGACGAUUUCUAGGUAGCGUUCAAAAUUAUCCACCACAGGAGUCUUAUACAAUGAUUAGCUGUUAUUGAACUUUGGAGUUUGACUAAAAAUUAUCCCAAAUUAUACUAAUCCUUGAUUGGCGCAACUUUUUCAUUAUUUUGUGAUAAUCGAGUUUUUCC
rnacentral:lncRNA from 1 species